ensembl:rRNA 5S_rRNA 5S ribosomal RNA
GCCUACGGCCAUACCACCCUGAAAGCGCCCGAUCUCGUCUGAUCUCGGAAGCUAAGCAGGGACGGGCCUGGUUAGUACCUGGAUGGGAGACCGCCUGGGAAUACCAGGUGUUGUAGGCU